rnacentral:tRNA from 1 species
UGUGGCGAAGGCAACUGUUGGUUUGUUGCACCUGCCUGUAAAGCAGGCGCUUCGGCUUCGGGGGUUCAAUUCCCUCUCGCCACAC